rnacentral:hammerhead_ribozyme from 1 species
AUUCAGUUAUCGAGUCCCAAAUAGAACGAAACGCGCGUCAAACUGAAU